GAUUGAACGCUGGCGGCAGGCCUAACACAUGCAAGUCGAACGGUAACAGGAAGCAGCUUGCUGCUUCGCUGACGAGUGGCGGACGGGUGAGUAAUGUCUGGGAAACUGCCUGAUGGAGGGGGAUAACUACUGGAAACGGUGGCUAAUACCGCAUAACGUCGCAAGACCAAAGAGGGGGACCUUCGGGCCUCUUGCCAUCAGAUGUGCCCAGAUGGGAUUAGCUUGUUGGUGAGGUAACGGCUCACCAAGGCGACGACCCCUAGCUGGUCUGAGAGGAUGACCAGCCACACUGGAACUGAGACACGGUCCAGACUCCUACGGGAGGCAGCAGUGGGGAAUAUUGCACAAUGGGCGCAAGCCUGAUGCAGCCAUGCCGCGUGUAUGAAGAAGGCCUUCGGGUUGUAAAGUACUUUCAGCGGGGAGGAAGGUGUUGUGGUUAAUAACCGCAGCAAUUGACGUUACCCGCAGAAGAAGCACCGGCUAACUCCGUGCCAGCAGCCGCGGUAAUACGGAGGGUGCAAGCGUUAAUCGGAAUUACUGGGCGUAAAGCGCACGCAGGCGGUCUGUCAAGUCGGAUGUGAAAUCCCCGGGCUCAACCUGGGAACUGCAUUCGAAACUGGCAGGCUUGAGUCUUGUAGAGGGGGGUAGAAUUCCAGGUGUAGCGGUGAAAUGCGUAGAGAUCUGGAGGAAUACCGGUGGCGAAGGCGGCCCCCUGGACAAAGACUGACGCUCAGGUGCGAAAGCGUGGGGAGCAAACAGGAUUAGAUCCCCUGGUAGUCCACGCCGUAAUCGAUGUCUACUUGGAGGUUGUGCCCUUGAGGCGUGGCUUCCGGAGCUAACGCGUUAAGUAGACCGCCUGGGGAGUACGGCCGCAAGGUUAAAACUCAAAUGAAUUGACGGGGGCCCGCACAAGCGGUGGAGCAUGAGGUUUAAUUCGAUGCAACGCGAAGAACCUUACCUGGUCUUGACAUCCACAGAAGAAUCCAGAGAUGGAUUUGUGCCUUCGGGAACUGUGAGACAGGUGCUGCAUGGCUGUCGUCAGCUCGUGUUGUGAAAUGUUGGGUUAAGUCCCGCAACGAGCGCAACCCUUAUCCUUUGUUGCCAGCGAUUAGGUCGGGAACUCAAAGGAGACUGCCAGUGAUAAACUGGAGGAAGGUGGGGAUGACGUCAAGUCAUCAUGGCCCUUACGACCAGGGCUACACACGUGCUACAAUGGCGCAUACAAAGAGAAGCGACCUCGCGAGAGCAAGCGGACCUCAUAAAGUGCGUCGUAGUCCGGAUUGGAGUCUGCAACUCGACUCCAUGAAGUCGGAAUCGCUAGUAAUCGUGGAUCAGAAUGCCACGGUGAAUACGUUCCCGGGCCUUGUACACACCGCCCGUCACACCAUGGGAGUGGGUUGCAAAAGAAGUAGGUAGCUUAACCUUCGGGAGGGCGCUUACCACUUUGUGAU
rnacentral:rRNA from 1 species